rnacentral:rRNA from 1 species
GACAGAGGUGCCAAGCGUUAGGCGGAAUCACUGGGCUUAAAGCGUGUGUAGGUGGAUCGUUAAGUGCCUUGUGAAAUCCCACGGCUUAACCGUGGAACUGCUUGGCAUACUGGCGAUCUUGAGCCAUUCAGGGGCUACUGGAACAAACGGUGGAGCGGUGAAAUGCGUAGAUAUCGUUUGGAACGCCAAAGGUGAAAACAGGUAGCUGGGAAUGUGCUGACACUGAGACACGAAAGCCAGGGGAGCAAACGGG